UUUCCCAGGAGCUCAGAAAGUGGGCAGGGCCUCGGGGGUCCAGCCUGGCAAAGGAGAGUGGUCUGGGCCUCAAGGUGCCGCGCGGGCCGGGAGGUGUCCCCCAGGCAGCCUGUUCGGGGGUGUUUGCUCUGUGCUGCUAGGAGGCUGCAAGGUGCAGGGGCUUGGAGUCGCCAGGCCUGGUGUGGGCCCCUGGGUUUGAUCAGCUAUACACUGUGUGACUGCUCAAGUCUUGUGUGAACCUCCUGUGGUCUCGGUUUUCUCAUCUGUAAAAUGGGCAUCGCUCAGCCUGCCUCUCUCACUGGGUUGCCACGGGGAUCAGAAAUGAUAGAUAGGUUUUCACACCCCGCAGCCCCGGCUGGGAUGUGUGCUUCCUUCUGUGUGAACUGAGCGACGCUUUCCGCUGAUUUGCCCAUGGGGCUCCUGCCGGCUUUGAGGAGGGGUGUUCGAUAAACCAGUGUCACACAGCAGCGCGCCUGCAUUGUCAUCUGUGCUUUGGGGAAGCGCAGCAGAGGCUGAGGCAGCCAGGAGCAGAGCUGAGGUCCUCGCCCACCCCGCCAUCCACGGACUCAUUCAGCAAGCAUUUCAUGCGCACCUACUAUGUGCCGGGCGCCAGGAUCGAGGACAGCGAUGCAAACGACAGUGUCUGUCUUUUAAGGCCCAUGCAGAGGGGGCACUGAGGCGGGAAGACCCCCGAGAGGUUGCAAGUCCCUCCACGUCCCUUUUCUACCAUACGCUGGGGAAGAGAGUUUCCAAGUACAGGCGACUCAGUUUGCUGCUUCUUCCAGAGGCUUCUUUGUUUGGCCUCUCUGGGGAGAAAGGGACACCGAAAGGAAAUCUUGAAGGCUGAGCAGGAUGUGCUGGCUUGGAAGGUUCCAGGUCAACGGCCCAGCUCGGAGAAAGUCCAGGGCAGGAUAGUUUACAACUUGCCAGGACUUCAGAGGGAGAUCAAGUGAAUAUGGGGGGAUUUUUUUUUUGGUCAUUUCAUUGAAAUUUAAGCUAGAGCUCAGCUUUGCCGUUAAGAAGAGCUGGAGCUAAGCCCAAGUUCUGCCACAGGUGCACACCCUUAACUCCGAGCCUCCGCUUCCUCUUCUGUAAAAUGGGCCUGUUGCCGAGCCGUCCAAAUGAUGGCAUGAGAAAUGGACAUAGGUUUUCAGUAAAUGUUUUUAGUGGAACUGCUCAAAAAUGUGCCUGCCCUACCUUCUUGCUGACUUUUCUGUCUUCUCUGUGGGCCCUGAGCCUGCCAUCAGGAGCAGGCAGCCCUGAGGCAGACUGAGGCCUCUCCUUUCCUCUCCCUAAAUACACCCUUCCAAGGUGAGGGACGACCGCCAUUGCCCCAGCAAGGGUGGUCCCCAGACAGUAAGCGACACUGCAGGGCCAGCGUUGGUGGGUGCUUCGUGGGGAACUGGGGCAGAUGGUGACAGCCAGAGCAGGUGCAGAGGGGCCACCCUGCACCUCGUCUUUGGGGCUAGAAGCAGCAGUUUCCCUCGGGAAGGGCCUCUUCCCCUCACCUGCUGGCCAGCCAAGGAGCCCGUGUCCCUGUUUCUCAUCCCUUAGGCAGCUCCAUCCCUGCCAACGCCAGCCUCCAGGAGGCCCAAGUCAUUCACCACAGAACAGCCCCCUAAACUGAACCAGUAGCCCAAUUUGGGGGGAGGCAUUGAGAAAAUUCCCAGAGGUCCCUGGGCCACCUGGUCGCCUCCCACAUCUGCAGAGCACCACUCCAAACGCCCUCAUCACUGGAAUCAUUGUUGCCAUUGUCGCCAUUGUCAUCAUUGUCGUCAUGAGUCUGCACAGCCUUCCCUUCCUGUGCCCUUCUGAGCGAGAUGGCGCUCAGACCUCAUAGCCCCUUAAGGCGGCCGCGUGGCUCUCUCUGUCCUGAGCAGUCUCAGAGUGGUGAAGGGAAGCAGCCACGGUGGCACCGCUGGAAAGGGACACAGUUGGCACCUGCCCAUAGUGUGUCAGUAACCGUCUGCCUACAAAGCUGAGCUUUAAACCCUUUUAUCCCCAGCCGAGUGCCUCUCCCCCGCCCCAGCUCCUGGAGCCAGGGGAGGGGCAGACGGGGAGGGAGGGGACCCGGCCUUCCGUGGAACUGCCCUGCAGUGACUCAGGGCCCCUCUGCCAGCUCCUCUCAGGAAAUACUGGGCUGACUGUGGCCCGUUGUUGCCCUCCCUGCACAGGAAUCCGCACAUUUCCCGAGUCCCUCCUACUCCCAGGCGCCGUGCUGGGCACUGCGAUGCGUCAGGGAACCAGGGAGGCCGAGUGGCAUCCUCACAGGGCCUACAGCCCGGGGAUGGAAACGGAGAAUCAGGUAAACCGGCAUGCGAAUGCAGGUGACACGCCCCCACUUGGAUGUCUUCCUGGGUGCUCCUGAGAAGUGGCCAUAGCCAUGAAGGUAAGAGGGGAGGUGACCUGCCCAGGGUCACACAGUGUCUCCAUCUAGACUCCACCGCCCAACCCUGAGCCCCUUCUGCGGCUCGAUCCAAACCCCGAGGGAAGUAUGGAAGGGAGCUGCUGGGGGCAGACCUUGGCUUGUAGUCCCCACCCCAUGCCUAGACCUUUUGGCCUUGCUCGGUGACACUGGGGACAAGCCUGGGGCCAGGUCAGCCGGUGAGAGGGAGCUGGCUUGGCCGCACAGGCCGGGAGAGGGCAAUCUGGGGUCUGGACAGGCGCAUGAGGGUUGCAAUGAUUGCUGAGUGAGCUCACCACAUCCUAAGGGUCCUCAGGCACCUCGACAGUCACCUGUGCGUGAUGUCCCCCAGUGAAGAGUGAAGGAGAAGAAACGACAGCAGUGAUACCUUCCUGCACCCUCAGUGGUUUGGCGCAAUAACUGGAGAACAGAGACAGGGUCUGGAAAUCCGGAUUAGAACUCAUCUCUUCUGCUUCCUAAGAAGGUCCUAAAUCCAAAGACGAGUGUCCUUAUAAGAGACACAGAGGAGAAGGCCACAUGAAGAGGGAGGUGGGGAUUGAAGUGAUGCAGCCGCAAACCAAGGAACACCUGGAGACACCAGAAGCUGGAAGAGCCAAGAGCAAUCUCUCCUCGGGCCCUUUGGAGAGAGCACGGCCCUGCUGACACCUUGACUGUGGGCUCCUGGCCUCAGAACGGUGAGAGAAUAGUUGUUUUAAGCCACCAAGUUUGUAGUCAUUAUGUACGAGCCCUAAGACGCUAAUGCCUGGGGUGAUGCAGGUUUCCGGGGUUCGGAGACCCAGCUCUGCACCGUCCUACUGAGAUUCCCACGUCUCCUGCCUCAGGAAGGAGGCCCCGCGUCAGCCUGCAGACCCAGACAGGCAAGGCUGAAGUGGAUAAAGCUCUCACUCGGGCCCUGCCUUGUGCUAAAAAAACAACCUCCGGUGUGUUGCCACAUGAGGAUUAGUCAAAUAAUUAUGAGCUCUGACUUCCCCUGAGUAAUUCGGUCGGGCUGACGGCCGAGGCCUCCAGAGGGGUGAGUGGAGUCGUCGCCCGGUCAGCGAGCAAAGACAGCAUCAAAUACCUCCCAGAAAAGGCCGAUCUCCGUGGGAACCUCUGAGAAACCCAACCAGGCUCGCAGGUGGCACACCCCAAACGUGAACCAGUUGGGCAAACUUGAGGCCACCGGCGAGCCACCAGCCCUGCACCCCACUCCACGAGGUGAGCUCACCCUGUUCAGGGCCACAGAGACUCCUCUCCGGAGGCCUAGAACAGCCCAGCUGGGGGAUGGGGGCAAAGUGAGCCUCACCAGCACUUGCCAGGCUCUGCUCCGCGGGGCCCAGGGGUGGGCAGGCAAGGGUGGCCCCACAUCACAGGCUGAGGGAGCCCAAGGUGGCAGCAAGCACAGGGGCUAGAGAGCCAGGUUCAAACCCCAGCACCACCUGUUAAAAGCUGUGUGUUUCUGGACAACCUAAGUCAUUUCACUCAGCCUCAGUUUCUUUGUCUCUAAAAUGGAAAUGAUUAGAUCCACAGGACAGGGUUGUUUAGAAAAUUAAAUAAGCUGAUAUGUGCCAAAUGUCUAGCUUCUGCCAGUUGGCUAUUCUAGGCCCUUUGCAUUUUUAUAUGAGUUUUCAUAUCGGUUUGUCAAUUUCUCAAAAAAAAAAAAAUUGUGGUGGGACUUUGUACCUGGUAGUAGCUCAGGAAAUUGUUCUGGACUCCAGUCUUGAUUAGUAACACUAGUGCAGUGCUUUAUAGCCUACUAAGCUUUUGCAUACCUUCACCCUAACUCCCUCCACAGACCUGUAACACAGGCAGGCGUGGCAUAGCUGGUGUCCCCCAGUUGUACAAUAAAGGAAACUGAGGCUCCAAAAGGCAAAGACUUCCCACCACGGUCACACUGCUAGUGAGUGAGUAGCAGAAAUAAGUUUUUAAUGCAUGAUGUCAGACUCCAAACCCAGGGCUCUCCCGUAAGAGCUCUGAGUAGGGGUCUCUAAUAUAGUCUUGCUAUUCCAAAAGACGAAUAAACUGGACAAAGGGGGACACUUAUUAUUCUGGUUACUUUUUAAAAAAUCAGUUUCCAAGGCUGGUGCCAUGCAAAUGUAUUUCCGCUGCCCUUAUUUGAACGCUCUCCUCUGGCUUCCCUAAGAUGUGGGUGUCAGUCUCAAUAAGAAGACCAUAUGCCUUUGUUCUCUUUUAACUUUCUUUCUUGGCGAGAACACGGCUCCACAGAGGAAAAGGGAGAGGAAACGGGGACACAUCACAGAAGGAGGGUUUCCGGCUCUGAAGUCAGGAAGAACUUCUGAGUGGCGGAGGCUGCCCAGAUUGAAAUGCCGAGAAGAAUGAGAACUUUUCCAACCGGGGAGUCCUGAGGUUCCCUUCUCCCCGAGGGCUAGCAAUGAAUGGCCUCGACUCCUUCUGUCCUCAACGGCAGUCAGAAGCCAGUGCUUAGCCCUCUGGCCGCAUUCCCCCCGGUGGGUGAUGGCAGGCAUGGGUCCCCAGACUGGCCCACUCCCCUCUCGGGACCCAUGAUGGCGCUGGCUGCGUGCAGGGUCCCCAGCAGCUCUGAAAUCCUGGCUCGUCAUGCGCCGGGUCCUCUGGAAACAGUUCCUGGGGUGGAGGUCUGCAGGUAGGAGGUGCGUGGGAGGCGUUCUUGGGAACAAGGUGUGGGGGGUGCAGGAAGCCAAUGGGACAAUGUGGCUACAACAGAGGUGCCAGUCUAAAGAGUUUGUCCCUUUGGAACCCCUAUUGUGACAAGUCAUUAGGUGAGAGCUGCCCCAGGGAAGGAACAGGGACCAGCUGCGAGCCCUGGGCGCCCACGCUCUGCUCCCAGCCACAGGGAAAACCAGCGCCUCUGUCUGGAGGGGGCAGGUGCCCGCACACCCACCCCCCUUCCUUGGCCCUUCACUGUUCCACGGGAUCAGACCUCUGGCCUUCCUACUGGGAACAGCAGGGACACACCUGCAGAAGCCCCUCGGGAGGCAACAAGUCCAUUAGGGCUCAGCCCAGGAAGAACAGAGUGAAAAGGAUGUCGAUGCAGAA